UAGUCUGGGAAACGUGCCUGAUGGAGGGGGAUAACUACUGGAAACGGUAGCUAAUACCGCAUAAUGUCGCAAGACCAAAGUGGGGGGACCUUCGGGGCCUCAUGCCAUCAGAUGUGCCCAGAUGGGAUUAGCUAGUAGGUGGGGUAAUGGCUCACCUAGGCGACGAUCCCUAGCUGGUCUGAGAGGAUGACCAGCCACACUGGAACUGAGACACGGUCCAG
rnacentral:rRNA from 1 species